GUAGGUGAACCUGCGGAAGGAUCAUUACUGAAUGUCCCAGCUCGCUGGGCUUUUUCUGCCUUGGGAAGCCGCUGAAAAUGCGGUGACCCUUGGUCACUCACACCUGCACUGUACCUUCUCCUUUGGCAGGGCUCGGUUUGCCACUUUCCUUGUGUAAGAGGUUUCCGACAUUAGCUUACCACUUGUUCUGGUUGGCUUUCCAAUCAGAAUCAGUGGCGAGUCGAUGCCCAACCUGCCAGAGGAACCCCCC
rnacentral:misc_RNA from 1 species